rnacentral:rRNA from 1 species
CAGUCGCCGCGGGAAAACAGAGGGUGCAAGCGUUAAUCGGAAUUACUGGGCGUAAAGCGCGCGUAGGUGGUUUGUUAAGUUGGAUGUGAAAUCCCCGGGCUCAACCUGGGAACUGCAUUCAAAACUGACUGACUAGAGUAUGGUAGAGGGUGGUGGAAUUUCCUGUGUAGCGGUGAAAUGCGUAGAUCUCGAGAGGAACACCAAUGGCGAAGGCAGCUUCUUGGUCCAUUCCUGACGUUCAUACACGAAAGCGUGGGGAGCAAACAGGAUUAGAUACCCCCGUAGUCCCUGUCUCUUAUAC